AUUGAACGCUGGCGGCAGGCCUAACACAUGCAAGUCGAACGAGUGGCGGACGGGUGAGUAAUGUCUGGGAAACUGCCUGAUGGAGGGGGAUAACUACUGGAAACGGUAGCUAAUACCGCAUACCAUCGGAUGUGCCCAGAUGGGAUUAGCUAGUUGGUGGGGUAACGGCUUACCUAGGCGACGAUCCGUACCUGGUCUGAGAGGAUGACCCGCCACACUGGAACGGAGACACGGUCCAGACUCCUACGGGAGGCAGCAGUGGGGAAUAUUGGACAAUGGGCGCAAGCCUGAUGCAGCCAUGCCGCGUGUGUGAAGAAGGUCUUCGGAUUGUAAAGUACUUUAAGUUGGGAGGCGUUACCCACAGAAUAAGCACCGGCUAACUCCGUGCCAGCAGCCGCGGUAAUUC
rnacentral:rRNA from 1 species